AUUGAACGCUGGCGGCAUGCCUUACACAUGCAAAUCGAACGGUAACGGGCCUUCGGGUGCCGACGAGUGGCGCACGGGUGAGUAAUACAUCGGAACGUGCCCGAUCGUGGGGGAUAACGAGGCGAAAGCUUUGCUAAUACCGCAUACGAUCUACGGAUGAAAGCAGGGGACCGCAAGGCCUUGCGCGGACGGAGCGGCCGAUGGCAGAUUAGGUAGGUGGUGGGAUAAAAGCUUACCAAGCCGACGAUCUGUAGCUGGUCUGAGAGGAUGAUCAGCCACACUGGGACUGAGACACGGCCCAGACUCCUACGGGAGGCAGCAGUGGGGAAUUUUGGGCAAUGGGCGCAAGCCUGAUCCAGCCAUGCCGCGUGCAGGAUGAAGGCCUUCGGGUUGUAAACUGAUUUUGUACGGAACGAAAAGCCUUCUUUUAAUACAGGAGGGUCAUGACGGUACCGUAAGAAUAAGCACCGGCUAACUACGUG
rnacentral:rRNA from 1 species